UGGCUCUCGCAUCGAUGAAGAACGCAGCGAAAUGCGAUAAGUAAUGUGAAUUGCAGAAUUCAGUGAAUCAUCGAAUCUUUGAACGCACCUUGCGCCCUCUGGUAUUCCGGAGGGCAUGCCUGUUUGAGUGUCAUGUGGACUCAACCCCUCCGGGUUUCCGGGGGAGGUUGGACCUGGGCGUCUGCCGUCUCCUUGCGGCUCGCCUCAAAUGCGUCAGUGGCGUCUGUGGACCCCAGACCGGAGUGAUAAGUUUCUCUGGCCGACGGGACCCGUGACCCGCUCACAACCCCCCAUAUUUUUGACUCUGGCCUCAAAUCAGGUAGGGCUACCCGCUGA
rnacentral:misc_RNA from 1 species